UACACAUGCAAGUCGAACGGUAACAGGAAGCAGCUUGCUGCUUCGCUGACGAGUGGCGGACGGGUGAGUAAUGUCUGGGAAACUGCCUGAUGGAGGGGGAUAACUACUGGAAACGGUAGCUAAUACCGCAUAACGUCGCAAGACCAAAGAGGGGGACCUUCGGGCCUCUUGCCAUCGGAUGUGCCCAGAUGGGAUUAGCUAGUAGGUGGGGUAACGGCUCACCUAGGCGACGAUCCCUAGCUGGUCUGAGAGGAUGACCAGCCACACUGGAACUGAGACACGGUCCAGACUCCUACGGGAGGCAGCAGUGGGGAAUAUUGCACAAUGGGCGCAAGCCUGAUGCAGCCAUGCCGCGUGUAUGAAGAAGGCCUUCGGGUUGUAAAGUACUUUCAGCGGGGAGGAAGGGAGUAAAGUUAAUACCUUUGCUCAUUGACGUUACCCGCAGAAGAAGCACCGGCUAACUCCGUGCCAGCAGCCGCGGUAAUACGGAGGGUGCAAGCGUUAAUCGGAAUUACUGGGCGUAAAGCGCACGCAGGCGGUUUGUUAAGUCAGAUGUGAAAUCCCCGGGCUCAACCUGGGAACUGCAUCUGAUACUGGCAAGCUUGAGUCUCGUAGAGGGGGGGUAGAAUUCCAGGUGUAGCGGUUGAAAUGCGUAGAGAUCUGGAGGAAUACCGGUGGCGAAAGGCGGCCCCCUGGACGAAGACUGA
rnacentral:rRNA from 1 species